GACGAACGCUGGCGGCGUGCUUAACACAUGCAAGUCGAACGGAAAGGCCCGGCUUUUGUGGGGUGCUCGAGUGGCGAACGGGUGAGUAACACGUGAGUAACCUGCCCUUGACUUUGGGAUAACUUCAGGAAACUGGGGAGAAUACCGGGUAUGAUAUCCUGCUGCAUGGUGGGGGUUGGAAAGUUUCGGCGGUUGGGGAUGGACUCGCGGCUUAUCAGCUUGUUGGUGGGGUAGUGGCUUACCAAGGCUUUGACGGGUAGCCGGCCUGAGAGGGUGACCGGCCACAUUAGGACUGAGAUACGGCCCAGACUCCUACGGGAGGCAGCGGUGGAGAAUAUUGCACAAUGGGCGGAAGCCUGAUGCAGCAGCGCCGCGUGCGGGAUGACGGCCUUCGGGUUGUAAACCGCUUUCGCCUGUGACGAAGCGUGAGUGACGGUAAUGGGUAAAGAAGCACCGGCUAACUACGUG
rnacentral:rRNA from 1 species